AGCACAGGGCAGCCAGUUGUGCAAGUGGUCGUCCUCUCUGAAGAGCCCUGCUGGCUGAUAAUGACUCACAGAUUGUCUCUUUGAAGAAGAAACAGUUUGGAUGAAAUGGAUAAAAAGAGAAAGAAAAUAUAUCCUUAAAAAAGAUCAGAAGUCCUGCUGGGCUCAUCAGGGUGUUCUGUUUCGGGAUUCCACAAGGUGGGAGCCAGGCUGAGCUGUUAUCUGAGUAGACACUUGGUCCAAGCCCACGAAGUUGUUGGCAGUUUUCAGGAAAGAAUGUUCCCCUGCACUCUUUGUGGAUGGAGGAACCUGCCUCUGCUUAGCCUUCACUUCAAGUUGACUCCAUGCCUGUGGAUUAUGUACCCUGGCCAUGACCACCCACCAACUAUAAGCCUGCUCUGUGUUUUAUUUCACUUCAAGAUAGAGCAACAGAGGCAUCAACCAAACAACCAACCUGAUCAUGGAAAAGCCCAGGGUCCCAGGA